rnacentral:rRNA from 1 species
CAGUAGCCACGGUAAUACGAAGGGGGCUAGCGUUGCUCGGAAUGACUGGGCGUAAAGCGUGCGUAGGUGGUGGUUUAAGUCCGUUGUGAAAGCCCUGGGCUCAACCUGGGAAUUGCAGUGGAUACUGGAUCACUAGAGUGUGGUAGAGGAUAGUGGAAUUUCCGGUGUAGCAGUGAAAUGUGUAGAGAUCGGAAGGAACAUCUGUGGCGAAGGCGACUAUCUGGGCCAACACUGACACUGAGGCACGAAAGCGUGGGGAGCAAACAGGAUUAGAUACCCCCGUAGUCCCUGUCUCUUAUAU